GACGGAGGAUGCAAGCGUUAUCCGGAAUGAUUGGGCGUAAAGCGUCUGUAGGUGGUUUAUUAAGUCUACUGUUAAAGAUCAGGGCUUAACCCUGAGUCGGCAGUAGAAACUAAUGAGCUUGAGUACGGUAGGGGCAGAGGGAAUUCCCGGUGUAGCGGUGAAAUGACGUAGAGAUCGGGAAGAACACCAAUGGCGAAAGCACUCUGCUGGGCCGAAACUGACACUCAGAGACGAAAGCUAGGGGAGCGAAAUGGG
rnacentral:rRNA from 1 species